UAUUAGUAACAUUCAUUUAUUUAUUGCAAAGUAAUUAGAUUUUAUCUUAUACUAUAUCGCAUAGAAUGCUAAAUAAUAAGUUAUGAAAUUAUUAAUAGAAUAAAGGAUAAAUGUUAAGUUAUACUUACAAAAAAUAAAUAUAAACAUCAUUACUAUAUGCCUCCUCUGCUAGCAGAGAAAGCAUAUAGUAAUGAUGUUUGUAUUGGGUGGGAACGUACUACAAUAAUAAAGCCUGUCACUCUGCCUAACCAAGCUUAUACCCAAGAAGCUUUGCAAAUUAUCACUAGAGGACAUGACUGCCACCUUAUCAAUGACAGAACAGUGGUCCAAGUACCUGCUGCUUGGGAGUAUUUACUGUGCGAGUUUAAUGGACCUGAUCCGAAGUAAUGAUCGUCCCGCUCAGUGUAGUUU
rnacentral:lncRNA from 1 species